rnacentral:rRNA from 1 species
GCUUGUCUCAAAGAUUAAGCCAUGCAUGUCUAAGUAUAGUACCUUAUACUGCGAAACUGCGAAUGGCUCAUUAAAUCAGUUAUAAUUCAUUUGAUGGUACUUACUACUCGGAUAACCGUAGUAAUUCUAGAGCUAAUACGUGCGUAAAUCCCGACUUCUGGAAGGGACGUAUUUAUUAGAUAAAAGGCCGACCGGACUUUGUCCGACCCGCGGUGAAUCAUGAUAACUUCACGAAUCGCAUGGCCUUGUGCCGGCGAUGAAUCAUUCAAAUUUCUGCCCUAUCAACUUUCGAUGGUAAGGUAUUGGCUUACCAUGGUUACAACGGGUAACGGGGAAUUAGGGUUCGAUUCCGGAGAGGGGGCCUGAGAAAUGGCCACCACUUCCAAGGAAGGCAGCAGG